rnacentral:rRNA from 1 species
AUUGAACGCUGGCGGCAGGCCUAACACAUGCAAGUCGAACGAGUGGCGGACGGGUGAGUAAUGUAUGGGGAUCUGCCUGAUAGAGGGGGAUAACUACUGGAAACGGUGGCUAAUACCGCAUACCAUCAGAUGAACCACAAUGGGAUUAGCUUGUUGGGUGGGUAAAGGCGCACAAAGGCGACGAUCCCUAGCUGGUCUGAGAGGACGAUCAGCCAUCCUGGAAACGUGACACGGUCCAGACUCCUACGGGAGGCAGCAGUGGGGAAUAUUGCACAAUGGGCGCAAGCCUGAUGCAGCCAUGCCGCGUGUAUGAAGAAGGCCUUCGGGUUGUAAAGUACUUUCAGCGGGGAGGCGUUACCCGCAGAAGAAGCACCGGCUAACUCCGUGCCAGCAGCCGCGGUAAUAC